rnacentral:rRNA from 1 species
UACGUAGGGGGCUAGCGUUGUCCGGAAUCAUUGGGCGUAAAGAGCGUGUAGGCGGCCCGGUAAGUCCGCUGUGAAAGUCGGGGGCUCAACCCUCGAAUGCCGGUGGAUACUGUCGGGCUAGAGUGCGGGAGAGGGAUGUGGAAUUCCAGGUGUAGCGGUGAAAUGCGUAGAUAUCUGGAGGAACACCGGUGGCGAAGGCGGCAUCCUGGACCGACACUGACGCUGAGGCGCGAAAGCUAGGGUAGCAAACGGG